UACGCAUUAGACCAUAGAACUAUAUAAAUUUUUGUAUAGUGAAUAUAUAUUUUAAUUAUUGUUUCAUCAACAAGAUAAUGUUCAAUAAAAAUAUAAUUAUGCUAUAAUAAAAUAAUGUCGCAGUUUUAUAUAAUGGUUUUAAAUACAUUUUUCCAAAGAACUAUUAUUAAACAUUUUAAAAUAUUAAAUUAUUUUUCUAAUACAAAUAUUAUUAUUUAAUUUUAACCAUAAAAAAAAAAAAAAGCAUAUUUCUAAAUUCGUGGCUCAAGAAGCAACACCACCAAUGAGACUGACCACUGACAUCUCAUUUUCUGAAAUUUUUCACGAGAAUAGAUAUGCAUAGAUUUAUAGGUUAUGACAUUCGAAUGUAAUUUGUAAUGUUUUCUAGUAAGUGGUUCACCUAGGUUGUCUGUGGAUUUUAUCAACAAAUUUGAACACACCAGUCGAUUAAUCGUGAAAUUCUACGUAAAACCAUGUUCCCAAUUCAAUUUGACCAAAAUAUGAGACAGGCGGUGUUGCUUUUGAGGAGACGUUAUACACGGUCUUCUAAAUUCCACGUUAGUUCCAGAUUUUCCAUGAAAUAUUUAUUUUUUGAAAUCAUAUAUUUUAAAAAUGUUCUAUUGUCCUAAUUUUGUUCAGCCUUACUUUUUGGAUGUGAAACGAAAAAUGUCAACACUUAAAUGUAUUGUAAGUUGGUAUUUUUUAAUCAAAAGUGGAUGGUGGUUUCAUACCCAGAAAAUUAGAGUAAACACAACAUUUUAGAAUAUACGAUUCCAAAUUUAUACGCAAGUCAUUUUUGAAAAAAUAAGUAUUUCAUGGUCAAUUUUACCGUAAUUUGAAAUCCAAAGGACCAUGUGCAUUUAAAUAAGUAAAGCGAUCGACGUGUUACCUAAAUACAUUAUAUUAAAAUUAAAUUUUGUACUUUGCUUACCGUAGCGUUUUAAAUAAUUUAUAACACCAUUAACUAAUACUAAUACCAAUAUUAAUUAUAAUAUAUUUUUUAUACAAUGUAUAUUAUGUUAAAAAUGCCAGAGUUCUACACUAAGAAAAAAAAAA